rnacentral:rRNA from 1 species
CGCGCAGGCGGCUGGGCAAGUCCGAUGUGAAAGCUUCCGGCUUAACUGGAAAAUUGCAUCGGAAACUGCUCGGCUUGAAGGUGGGAGAGGGUAGCGGAAUUCCCGGUGUAGUGGUGAAAUGCGUAGAUAUCGGGAGGAACACCAGUGGCGAAGGCGGCUACCUGGCCCACUCUUGACGCUGAGGCGCGAAAGCUAGGGGAGCAAACG